CCUACGGGAGGCAGCAGUAGGGAAUUUUCGGCAAUGGGCGCAAGCCUGACCGAGCAACGCCGCGUGAGUGAUUAAGGCCUUCGGGUUGUAAAGCUCUGUUGUAAGGGAAGAACAUUCAGGAUAGGAAAUGAUCUUGAACUGACGGUACCUUACCAAUAAGCCACG
rnacentral:rRNA from 1 species